rnacentral:rRNA from 1 species
AUUGAACGCUGGCGGCAUGCCUUACACAUGCAAGUCGAACGGUAACGGGCCUUCGGGUGCCGACGAGUGGCGAACGGGUGAGUAAUGUAUCGGAACGUACCUUUCAGUGGGGGGAUAACGUAGCGAAAGUUACGCUAAUACCGCAUAUUCUGUGAGCAGGAAAGCAGGGGAUCGCAAGACCUUGCGCUGAUUGAGCGGCCGAUAUCAGAUUAGCUAGUUGGUGAGGUAAAGGCUCACCAAGGCGACGAUCUGUAGCGGGUCUGAGAGGAUGAUCCGCCACACUGGAACUGAGACACGGUCCAGACUCCUACGGGAGGCAGCAGUGGGGAAUUUUGGACAAUGGGGGCAACCCUGAUCCAGCCAUGCCGCGUGAGUGAAGAAGGCCUUCGGGUUGUAAAGCUCUUUCGGCCGGGAAGAAAUCGUAUGGGUUAAUACCCUGUGCGGAUGACGGUACCGGCAUAAGAAGCACCGGCUAACUACGUGCCAGCAGCCGCGGU